rnacentral:rRNA from 1 species
GAAACGGGUGGUAAUGCCGGAUGCUCCAGUUGAUCGCAUGGUCUUCUGGGAAAGCUUUCGCGGUAUGGGAUGGGGUCGCGUCCUAUCAGCUUGACGGCGGGGUAACGGCCCACCGUGGCUUCGACGGGUAGCCGGCCUGAGAGGGCGACCGGCCACAUUGGGACUGAGAUACGGCCCAGACUCCUACGGGAGGCAGCAGUGGGGAAUAUUGCACAAUGGGCGCAAGCCUGAUGCAGCGACGCCGCGUGAGGGAUGGAGGCCUUCGGGUUGUAAACCUCUUUUAUCGGGGAGCAAGCGAGAGUGAGUUUACCCGUUGAAUAAGCACCGGCUAACUACGUGCCAGCAGCCGCGGUAAUACGUAGGGUGCAAGCGUUAUCCGGAAUUAUUGGGCGUAAAGGGCUCGUAGGCGGUUCGUCGCGUCCGGUGUGAAAGUCCAUCGCUUAACGGUGGAUCCGCGCCGGGUACGGGCGGGCUUGAGUGCGGUAGGGGAGACUGGAAUUCCCGGUGUAACGGUGGAAUGUGUAGAUAUCGGGA